UGCAAGAUUAAUCUAUGGUUUACGAUACCUGAACAAGUAUAAACGAGAGAAGGACACUGGAAAAUAGCAGUUUCUGCAACUGAGCAAGAGAUAAAAAUGGAAUUCAUCUGAAUGGUCUCAAUUGCUUCAAAUUGAGAUAUCGAUCAUCGUAAUAGCGACGUUUAUCGUGCGAUGUAAGGAAUAUUCAUGCGCAGGCGCAGACACGAUCUUGACAAGAAAGACAUCUUCAGUUGCAUUUGUACCGUUGCAGAAUGUAUAUCUUCCUUUACAUGACUUUGAAAUAUUAGUCGAAUAAUAUGCCAAGUUGCGUGUACAAGUUUAACAUAUAAGAAAUAUAUAUAAGAUAGUAGUAAAAUCAUUUAUAAGAAUUAUACUAUAGUAUAAUUCUUCCAAUACGUGUUGUGCCAUUUUACAUGACUUUCUUCUUUUUAAGAAAAUAGUAGAGCUUAAAUAUUUGCAACCUUGUAGCAACAUAAGUAAACCUUGUAGCAAUAUAAUUAAUUAUUUAAUUAUAUGAAAGUUGUAUUAAAAGGAGACUAAUAUAAUUUCUUACGUAAUAAGCAUUGCACGAUAUUUGGGAAAAUAUAUUCUUAUAUAUUUAUUAUAAUACAUAUAUAAUAUAUUUUUGUUGUACAUCCCAAUGUAAAGCCAAUACAGUUACAUGCUAUUUACAAUAUUUUUUAAAAUCAUUUUUAUAUUAUUUUCUUUAUAUUAUAAAUAUUUUUCACACGAUACUCGCUAUCUUUUAAGUAACACAUAAAGAACUUACAUGUAUUCAUGGCUUAUUAUGACUUAAGCGGUAGUAGCAAAAUUAAUAG